rfam:Hordeum vulgare subsp. vulgare, WGS project CAJW01000000 data, contig: morex_contig_1560720
GUAAUACUCCCUUCGUCCGGAAAUACUUGUCACGGGAAUGGAUGUAUCUAGAUGUAUUUNNNUUCUAGAUACAUCCAUUUUUAUACAUUUGUGCGACAAGUAAUUCCGGACGGAGGGAGUACUUA